rnacentral:rRNA from 1 species
AUUGAACGCUGGCGGCAUGCCUUACACAUGCAAGUCGAACGGCAGCACGGGUGCUUGCACCUGGUGGCGAGUGGCGAACGGGUGAGUAAUACAUCGGAACAUGUCCUGUAGUGGGGGAUAGCCCGGCGAAAGCCGGAUUAAUACCGCAUACGAUCUACGGAUGAAAGCGGGGGCCCUUCGGGCCUCGCGCUAUAGGGUUGGUCGAUGGCUGAUUAGCUAGUUGGUGGGGUAAAGGCCUACCAAGGCGACGAUCAGUAGCUGGUCUGAGAGGACGACCAGCCACACUGGGACUGAGACACGGCCCAGACUCCUACGGGAGGCAGCAGUGGGGAAUUUUGGACAAUGGGCGAAAGCCUGAUCCAGCAAUGCCGCGUGUGUGAAGAAGGCCUUCGGGUUGUAAAGCACUUUUGUCCGGAAAGAAAUCCUUGGCUCUAAUACAGUCGGGGGAUGACGGUACCGGAAGAAUAAGCACCGGCUAACUACGUG